AUGUACAGAGGAUGUGACAACGUACAGAGAAGGGUCUUAACCUAUAUUGACAAAUUCUGUCCUCUGGAGCUAAGAAGAAUAGAGCAAUCACUCCAGAAGACCAAGUCGAGUCAAUGAGAUACACUGUCAGAAGCAAAACUUAAAAACACAGGGCAGCCCCAGGAAGGACAUGACCUCAGACAAGGAAGCUCUCUGUGGCUGAAAGAUGUCUGCUGGAUACACCUCAGCAGCUGAGCAGCAAGUCUUUCUUUGUUGGAGUUCUGGCAGUGCAUCACCAUGUCUACCACAAGUUUCACACGAAGUGUCCGGCCGGCCCCACCCCCAUUGGGCAACACCAAGACUUGGCCGGCCCCACCGCCAUCAAGCCCUGCCGGGCGGGGGACACAGCCUCAUGUCCUGGCGCUAAGGGUGCAACCUCAGGUCCCCUGGCCCUGGCCGGCACCACACAGCCUCACCCAGACCCACCGCGCCACGGGACCCAUCAAUGCACCUACUGGUGACCAGUCGUUUGGUCG